GAUGAACGCUCGCGGCAGGCCUAAUACAUGCAAGUCGAGGGGUAUGGGUUGCUUGCAACCCCGAGACCGGCGCACGGGUGCGUAACGCGUAUGCAAUCUACCUUAAUCAGGGGAUAGCCCGGAGAAAUCCGGAUUAACACCGCAUAACAUUGAGUUGUGGCAUCACAGUUCAAUCAAAUAUUUAUAGGAUUAAGAUGAGCAUGCGUGACAUUAGUUAGUUGGUGAGGUAACGGCUCACCAAGACCACGAUGUCUAGGGGAUCUGAGAGGAUGACCCCCCACACUGGUACUGAGACACGGACCAGACUCCUACGGGAGGCAGCAGUAAGGAAUAUUGGUCAAUGGGCGCAAGCCUGAACCAGCCAUGCCGCGUGCAGGAAGACGGCCCUAUGGGUUGUAAACUGCUUUUGGACCGGAAUAAACCUUCUCUUGCGAGAGAAGCUGAACGUACGGUAAGAAUAAGGAUCGGCUAACUCCGUG
rnacentral:rRNA from 1 species